UAUGAAUACAACUUAAAAACUCGUAUAUUUGUCGGAGAUAUGGUCCGAGAGUUUCUACCUACUAACCAUGAAUUAGUAGACUACGAGGUAUGAAUAAUAUAUA
rnacentral:ncRNA from 2 species